CACUCCGCUCCCGCUGCGGGGCCGGCACAGUGCGGCGCAACGCUCGCUUGGUGACCGGCGCCGUGGAUCUCCGGGCAGGGCUGCGGCAUCCCGACAGGAUGCCCUCCCCGAGCCCUGGCGCAGAACGUUCUGCGGGACAACCCUGUCAAGAGGGUCCUCGGGACGGGAGGGGCGGGGAAGCAAGCUGAGGUACGCCGCACAUCCUGGAGAUCAGAAUUGCUUCCCAAGUGUUUUCCAGUGUAACGUCCGGCUUCCAGCGAUUUGCGGGAAUUUGUCUCCUUUCCCUCCCCUUUUGCGGUGCUUUAUGCCGGAAACAGAGAGGUGUCUGAGGGGCUUGUCUGACCCUGUGAUCCACUUUGCAGGACUACGGUUCAAACGAGAGCCGUGCUUCCCUCCUGGCAUCCGCUCCCCAGGAAGCGGGACGCACCCGUCGCUGCACGACCAUCCUGCAGUCCUUCCCACCGUGGCGGUGCCGACGCUCUGGCACCGCCUGGGUUUGGAGCUCUCUGAGCCGUGGUGCUGGGUGUUUUGACUGUGGGAAUGCUAGUAAACCUGUUCACCACAGUGCUGUAAUUGCCUCUACUGGUGGCGUUAGGCAAUGAAAUCAGACAGUGGUGAGAGAUUUCCUCUGGACGUUCAUUUCAACCUCUGUAGAAAUUCUCUUCAGACAAAAUGGAGAUCAUAGGAUCAUAGAAUUCUUAGAAUUGGAAGGGGCCACCGAAGGCCAACUCUCCUGCAAUGAACAGGGACACCAAAUUUCUGCCUUUAUAAUUAGCAGUGAUAAUGUUUCUUACAGGAUCUCUCUAAAUCAUACUUGAUUGCUACGAACUCUUAAAAUUAGUCCUGUUCAUUAGGAGAGAGGUAAAAGAAUCUAGAAAGUAACUGCAGAAAAGGCUCUGGGGGUCUUGCUGGACACCAAGUUGAACAUGAGCCAGCAACGUGCCCUUGCAGCAAAGAAGGCCAAUGAUAUCCUGGGCUGCAUCAGGAGUAUUGCCAGCCAGCUGAGGAAGGUGAUCCUUGGCCUUUGCUCAGCACUUGUGAGGCUAUACCUAGAGUUCUGUGUCCAGUUCUGGUCUCCCCAGUAUGAGGAACAUUAUGAAGAGAGCUGAAGAUGAUGGAGAUCCUGGAGCACUCCUCCUCUGAGGAAAGGCUGAAAGAGCUGGGAGUGCUUAGUCUGGAGAGAAGGCAGCUCAGAAGAGGUCUCACCAGUGUCUGUAAAUACCUACAGGGAGGAUUUGGAGAAGACAGAACCACUCUAAUAGUGUGCAAGACAACCUUCUAACAGUGCCAGGACACUUCAUAAAUGUGCCAGGACAAAAAGCACUGGGCAAAAAUUGGAAUACAGAGGGCUCCAUCCAAACACCGGGGAGCACUUCUGUGCUGUGCAGGUGAUGGAGCACUGGCACACGUCACCCAGAGAGGCUGUGGAGUCUCCUCCUUGGAGAUCUUGGAGAAGCUGCCUGGACAUGGGCCUGAGCAGCUUGCUCUCAGUGUCCUGCUCUUGAGCAGGAGUUGGACCAGGUGGACCAAGAAACCCCUACCAGCCUCAAACAUUCAGUGGUUCUGUUAUUCUGGGAUGUGAUAAUUUAGUAGAAUCAUAGAAUGGUUUGGAUUAGGGUUGGAAAGGACCUUAAAGAUCAUCCAGUUCCGGUUCAUAGCAGGGGGGUUGGGCUACCCAGGGUUCCAUCCAAUUUGUCUUUGAACAUUUCCAGGGAUGGGGCAUCCACAGCUUUUCUGGUCAGCCUGUGUCAGCGCCUUGCCAUCCUUUCAGUAAAAAUGUUCUUCCUUAUAUCCAGUCUAAAUCUACCCCUUUUUAGUUUUAAAACCAUUGUCCCUCGUUUUGUCAUUACUGGCCCUGGUAAAACAAGCAAUCAAACAAAAAACAACACCCUUUCUUCACCUUUCUCAUAGGCCCCAUCCGAAUACUGGAAAGCCACAGUCAGCUCUCCUUGGAUCCUUCUCUUCUCCAGACUGAACAAGCGCAACUCCCUCAGCCUUUGUAGGAGAGGUGCUCCAGUCCUCUAGCUACCUUCAUGACCCUUCUCUGGAUUUGCCUUUGUAGAUCCUUGUCUCUUUUGUUCUGCAGCUCCUGGAGCUGGAUGGGCCAGCCCUUGUAGGUUCGGUCAGUAUGUGGGAACAAGUAAGAAACAGAGGGUUUAAACACAUUAAUUUCCUUUCAUAAUUUUGGCUGCUGUUAAGUAAUAUUUUUGUACUGGUUCUCGUGUGUUCACCAGUGGAAGGGGCUGGGUUCUGCAGCUCACUCCCUUAAUGCUUUCAGGUUUUCAAAUAUCAAUUCAUAACCUUAACGAAAAAGACAGAUGCAAAAUGAAUGUGCCUGUGCUUGCGCAUAUCACAUUAUCACACAUUUCACAUUAUCAGAAAUCAUCUCUGGUCACAAGAGAGAGACUAAAAGGGCUUAUUUUGCCCUUAAUCCAUCCCUUAGUCCCUCUGUUUUUCUAGAUGAGAUACCUUGUUCUAGAAAGUUUCAUCUCAGAAAGAUAUAUUCUAAAAUAACAUGCUAGAAGAUCUUGUUUUGUGUUCUGUUUGUACCUACACUUACCCCUGUUUAGUAAUAGUUAGGUCAGAGCAUAGUUCAGGCCGAUGAAAUGCUUUUCUCCUUAAGUCAACCAUCUACCUUCAUGGUCACUCUUUUUUUUUUUUUUUAAUGCUUGUUUUAGAGUUAGCCUUCAGUGAGAUAAAGUAAAAUAUUUUUAGUCAGUUUUAUUUGGUAAUCAAUUCUGACUUGACUGAAUUAAGCUAAAGUUUGCGGCAAGUCAACAAAGCUAACUUUAUUUUAUAUAUUUAAUUAUUUUACUGGGAGAGCCAAGGAGGUUUUAGAUAUCUUGAGAAGCAAAUGGACAAUUAAACUCUACAGAAAUUCAAAAUUGCCUGCUGAUUCUCAGUGCUAAGCAAACAUAAGCUCUAAUUUCUCUUCUUUUUUUUUCCUGAUAUUCUGUUCCUGUGCUCACACUCAGACAUUUAGAUCUUCAUACACAGAAGCACUUGGUUUGUAUAUCUACCUAGAUUUUGGGCCCUGCUAAGAACACCAAGGCAGCUGUAGCCACGCCACCAAGCCCAUCUUGCUGCCUGUGACAGUGGCCUGGGGAAGGACUUGACACCCCCUACAAACAUUUUCCAGACCUUUGGCUUGUUUGCAGCUUGGAGGCUCUCUGAUACUUUCGCACUUGUUUGCAAAAUGCCAACGAGCCCAGAGACCAGAGUUCAGAUCUCACCUAGACCCAAGUCAGUGUUCUGAGGAUAAGGCUUACUCAUUCAAAGUCAAAUGGCUUAAUAAAGGAGGGUGGAGGCUAUGUUCUCCAGACUGCCUGAGCACUUGGCUCCAAGCUGAGAGCUGUGGGUACGAAUCCCUGCUGGAAAUCUGGACCUGCAGUGCUUUCAGCGCUGAUCUGCUGGAGUCAGCCACACCUUGCAGCACCUCAGAGAUGGGUCCGAGCCUGGGCCUAGCUGAAUUUCUUCUUGGUUGCCUAAAAUGUGAUUCUGUACUCAGUGGACUCAUUUUGACAGCCUUUCCAAGGCUGUCAGUACAAGGCAAACAAAAUCAUGCCUUGCCCUUGAUUCUGAGAUGGUUGAAUUGCAGGUCAGCUCCAGUGUUGGGCUAUUAUCACAGUGCUAAAUUUGAUCUGGUGAGUCCUGCUGGGGUAAAGAGGAUAUUAGUUCAUGCUCACUCUGCUGACGUGGCUGCGCAAUUUCUGGUCAGCAGUACAAGAAGCACAAGAGCGAGGCUGUGUAGCAUAGCCUGAGGUAUCUAACUCUUCUGUCAUGACGUAUGAAGCCUAAAGUGCAUACCUCAGAGCUCUAGCUCCCACACGUCUAUGAGAAGUGUGCAGAUAUAGUCACAUACAUAGCAUGAUGCGUCACCAUUGCCUCAGUAAUCUGCAAAGCAGGUUAUUGUCAAAGCUAAUGUUCAGGGCCAAGAGAGUUGUCACUGCGGUUACUUACACUGAUGCAUGCACCAGAGAUCUGUCUUUUCUUUUUCUUCCUUUUUUUUUUUUUCUUUUUUUUUUCUUCCCAUAGUCACCACAUAAUUUCCACCCAGUCUUCUCAAAUCUUAAUGCUCUGUUCAAAUACGUGCUUUGUGUGCCUCUGGUUUCACCAUGGUGGAUUGUCAUGCGUGGCAGCACUGCAGACUUGUGUAGUUGAAUGUGUAGAGAAAAAGCUGUAAAGAGAACAGAAAAAAGCAUGAACAACGAUGUCAGUUAGUAGAAUUUAAUUAUAACUUAGAAGCAAAGCUAGUUGACUGAGCUUGUGUUAAAAGGGUUUGGAGAACCAGGUGAUCUAAUAGCUCUUUGAUUUUUCAGGUAAGAAACUAGUGAAGGACGUGAUUCUCUUAAGAGCACGUGCUCCUCCUCUUCACUGUGGCUAAUUUUGUAUCUCUGUGACUAUUUCUAUGUAUUUUGCUUGUCUGAAAUCUACUGACAACAGUAAUUAGGUGAAUACUACUUUUUUUUUUUCUUGGUGCGUGUGUUACAAAGGGCAAUACUGAAUCAGAGAGAAGACAUAUCUUGCUAAGGUUCUGAGCUCCAAGAGUAAGUCAAAGACUUCAAGAUUAGCUAUUUAUGUGCUACUUGGACUUUCAAGUAACCUUUUUUUCACUCAGAAGGGCAGUUAGGCCACCAUUAUGUUGUUCUAGCUGACUCCAAACCCACUUAUCCACUUCAAGGUAUGAAAUGAUCAAAUCUUAGAAUGAGUGCAGCAGUCAAAACACCAAGUUUUUGGUGUCUCUACUCUGCUCAAAUAAUGGCACUGACGUUUUAAAUGAAAUAGUUUGACAGCUAUGAAGGUUUGUUUUUCAGGUGGAGCAGCUUAGCAGGGUAGCUGCAAGGGAAUUUUGCAGGAUGGAUCAGAGAGUAGUACUUCCAGCACCAAGGCCAUCUGCUGGUGUUGUCACUGUAAUACUGUCUGAGGAGCAACUAUCGUUACUACAGAUAUAUAGUAUGAAAUAAUCUUACUGUUAAGGAGAGAGAGACAGAAGAAAACUAUUAUUUAGGCUUGCUUAAUUUUUGAAGCUCCCCUCAACUUUUUGAGCUUCAGCCUUACCCUGACAAAGAAACUCCCAUCACAGCUGUAUGUGAGUCAGAAGUCCGGGUAUAUUUAGCUAAUGCUUGUAGAAGUUGCGCCACCUGGAGCCAGUUACACAGAACGGAAAAUACCAAAUGUUUUCUAAUGACCUGUGAUGAAAACAUACAUUUUGCCUGUCCAAGUAAAGCUUGAAGACAGCAAAGCGUGUUCCUGCUGCUUGCAAGAAGAGAAUUAUAAUAAAAUUAGCACUUUGUCGCUGCCAGCAUUUCAUAUGGAGUUCUUUAUAAAUAUUCAUAUAAAUGACCCAUCUUGCUAAUUAAGUAGUUGUCUCUAUACAGAGAAUGGUACUUCGUGGUAUGCAAUGGGUGUUAAUCUCCCCCCAGAAGUUAAGUACAAGGCGCUUUUAUGGUCUGUGAUCUUAACUGUGCUAGGAGCUUCAUUCAGAUACAUAACUUGUCCUGCCUAGAAUUCAGAGUAAGAUCAAAUGAUAAAGGUCAACCUCAGUAAACAUUUGCCCAUAGAAAUGGCAUUAAAUAGCUAUGGUGUUCCUCCUCAUAUCCAUCAUGCUGUGUUUUGUGGAAGACUGAACUGAAAUUCAAUUUGCCUGUUGAUGUUUACACCAGCAGCUGUUUUGAGAAUUUCAGCAUUCAUUUCAUCAAGCAAGUAAAUAUUUACUACUCUGUUUCUCCCAAAGCAGCAAUGGCUAUUAAAUGAUAACAAAAGAAGUUGUGGUAUUUGUGCAGAAAUGAAUAAAUCUCCAAUUUUUCUCCCAGGAGUCACCUGACGAGGCAGAAAAAGUGAUUAAAUGUGCAUUUAAGCAUAUUUACAUGGAUGCACACCUUUGAGAAGCCUACUCUGUGGUAGUUAAGAAUCACAGAUGUUGAUUGCAGUGCCUACCUUGUUCUGUUACAACUGCUAUUUCUGUUGACAAAAAAGUGUGCUGUACCAGAGAAAGUCCACAGAGAACAGUAAUACUCAGCAGGUGCCAAUAAGGACAGAAUCGGAGAGCUAAUUUAAUCUGCUUCUCAGGUUGCUGAAGGUAGCAGCUGGAAUUCCACUAAUUAUCUCCUUCCCAUCUUAGCUUAUAAACCUGAUGCAUAUAUAUCCAUCCUGCUUCAUUCCACCACUCCUUUCUAAGCCAGCAGCCUAAUAAUGAAGCUCUUCAUGAGACUGUGAAGCCAGUACCAGCAACAAUGAGUCUUCAUUAUUCCUGGAGAAGACUGGGGUGUUUGAUAUGCAUGAAGCUUUGUGCAGAUAGCUACGACUAUAAACUGCCAUUUGUUACUGUCAAACAAAUAAGUGUUACAACUAUUUAGAAGUGUUGCUCUUCUCUAGCAAGGGAUUUAUACUUGAAAAAUAAAACAAAAACUAAUUAGUACCUUAUCUUUUUUUUUUCCACCGAAAUGAAUGGAUUUUGGCUGAUGAACGGAAAUCUUGUUCCCUGUUACUGCUUACUCAAUGGGGUUGGAAAUGAUAAAGAAUUGGAUUGAUAUAAGUAACUGAGAUACUUACCUGUGACCUGAGACCUAGUCUGACGAAUCUUUUAGCUAUUUGCACAUAGAUACCAUGUUUGUAAAAUACACAAACUUGUCACAUAAUACAUAACUAUGUAUUUGUAGAUUUAAAAAAUAUAUAUACUUUGCAGAGACCCUACAAAUUGAAAAUGCUGAUCAUCUAUUUGGCUUUUUGUUAUGCAGGAAGUGUUGAAUUUGACAUCCAUUUUUCAGAGAGCUGAGAGGAAAAAGAAAGCUUAACUAGAAGGCUACCCCUCCCAGUACCAUCUCCCAAACAAAACCGCUGAUGUUCUGUUGAUAACAGCCUGCGUUAUCUACACUCGCUGUAGCCAAUAAGCUUCCUGUCUGCCCAGACUGAAUACAGCGUGC
ensembl:lncRNA